rnacentral:snRNA from 1 species
UGAUGCACAGAAGAUUAGCAUGGCCCCUGCGCAAGGAUGACACAUAAAUUUGUGAAGCAUUCCACGUUGUU